rnacentral:rRNA from 1 species
AAAUCGCUGUGAAGAUGCAGUGUACCCGCGGCUAGACGGAAAGACCCCGUGAACCUUUACUACAGCUUGGCACUGAACAUUGAACCUACAUGUGUAGGAUAGGUGGGAGGCUAUGAAGACGUGACGCCAGUUGCGUUGGAGCCGUCCUUGAAAUACCACCCUUGUAUGUUUGAUGUUCUAACUUAGACCCAUUAUCUGGGUUGAGGACAGUGGCCUGGUGGGUAGUUUGACUGGGGCGGUCUCCUCCCAAAGAGUAACGGAGGAGCACGAAGGUGGGCUAAUCACGGUUGGACAUCGUGAGGUUAGUGCAAUGGCAUAAGCCCGCUUAACUGCGAGAAUGACGGUUCGAGCAGGUGCGAAAGCAGGUCAUAGUGAUCCGGUGGUUCUGUAUGGAAGGGCCAUCGCUCAACGGAUAAAAGGUACUCCGGGGAUAACAGGCUGAUACCGCCCAAGAGUUCAUAUCGACGGCGGUGUUUGGCACCUCGAUGUCGGCUCAUCACAUCCUGGGGCUGAAGUCGGUCCCAAGGGUAUGGCUGUUCGCCAUUUAAAGUGGUACGCGAGCUGGGUUUAGAACGUCGUGAGACAGUUCGGUCCCUAUCUGCCGUGGGCGU